rnacentral:lncRNA from 1 species
GAGCUUUUGAUUUUGCCGUUUGAUUAGGGACUUUCCGUUUUGAAUUUUUCGGUAUUUUUGUUAUUUUACUUUUUAAAUGUAUUGCCAGUUAUCUGGUUUUCAUCAUUCGUCUUAGCUAGAUAUUGUAUCAUUCCAAUUGUGCCCUAGGCCUUUUAACACUAGUAAGGAAGUGAAUACAAUAACAAACGUGAAAAGAUUACGAACCUCAGAGCCAGGAAGGACCUAAACCUUUCAAGUAUGAUUCAACAGAGAUAACGAACCUCAGUGCCAAGAAGGACCUAACCCUUUCAAGUAUGAUUCAACAAAGAUGCGGUAUAUGUGUCAGUUAUUCAACAAAGAUGCGGUGUAUGUGACAAUGAUUCAACAGAAAUGCGGUAUAUGUGUCAAUGAUUCAACAGAGAUGCGGUGUAUGUGACAAUGAUUCAACAGAAAUGCGGUGUAUGUGUCAAUGAUUCAACAGAAAUGCGGUGUAUGUGUCAAUGAUACCACAGAGAUGCGGUGUAUGUGUCAAUGAUUCAACAGAGAUGCGGUGUAUGUGUCAAUGAUUCAACAGAGAUGUGGUGUAUAUGUCAAUGAUUC